rnacentral:rRNA from 1 species
GGUACAAAGGGUUGCUACACAGCGAUGUGAUGCUAAUCUCAAAAAGCCGAUCGUAGUCCGGAUUGGAGUCUGCAACUCGACUCCAUGAAGUCGGAAUCGCUAGUAAUCGCGGAUCAGAAUGCCGCGGUGAAUACGUUCCCGGGCCUUGUACACACCGCCCGUCACACCAUGGGAGUUUGUUGCACCAGAAGUAGCUAGCCUAACUGCAAAGAGGGCGGUUACCACGGUGUGGCCGAUGACUGGGGUGAAGUCGUAACAAGGUAGCCGUAGGGGAACCUGCGGCUGGAUCACCUCCUUA